CACGUAGGGUGCGAGCGUUGUCCGGAAUUAUUGGGCGUAAAGAGCGCGCAGGCGGUCGUUCAAGUCGCGUGUGAAAGCCCCCGGCUCAACUGGGGAGGGUCACGCGAUACUGAUCGACUCGAAGGCAGGAGAGGGAAGUGGAAUUCCCGGUGUAGUGGUGAAAUGCGUAGAUAUCGGGAGGAACACCAGUGGCGAAGGCGACUUCCUGGCCUGUUCUUGACGCUGAGGCGCGAAAGCUAGGGGAGCAAACGGG
rnacentral:rRNA from 1 species